CACAGUUCCCCACAACCACAAAUUAUGCAGUGGAGUUUCCCACAUUUGGGGAAAUUGCAGGGGUCAGCACAUCCAGAGUGCAAUGUACAAGCCUCGCCCUGAAAAACCAUCGUUGUGAUCAUGGUAUCUCCCCUGCCAGGUUGCUUGUCUUUGGACACCAAUCACUUCAUCAUAUUAUGAAGAAGCCCAUGCCUCGUGGAGGAGAUACCCAUGUAGAGAGGAACUGAGACCAUUCAUCAAUGGCUGGCAUCCACUUGCCAGGUUUGUGAGUGAAUCACUUUGGAAGUAGAUCCUUUAGCCUUAGUCAAGACUUCAUAUGACUAUUGUCCAGCCAACAUUUUGACUGCAACUACGUAAGAGACCUAAGACAAAACUGACCAUUCAAGCCACUGCUGACUUUCUGACUACAGAAACCAUAAAAAUUAAUAAAUAAUUAUUACUGUUUUAA